AUGAAGUUCACCACGUACGACAAAGUAUGUGACUUUUACAACACUUAUGCGAGAUAUGCAGGGUUUGGCAUACCCAAGAGGGCAGAACACAAGACAAAUGCCUACAUUAUCUGCUCAAGUGAAGGGGCGCACAAGCAGACUGUGUCAGAUUAUGACCGAAAACGUGAGAAGACAUCAAAAAGGAUUGCCUGCAGGGCAAAAAUAAGAGUCAAAAAGAGGAAGGAUGGCAAAUUUGUGAUAGAAAUGGUUGAACUAAAUCACAAUCAUAAGAUGUUGGAAACCCCCGGGAUGCUUCUGCACAUGCGCUCGUGCAAAAGAGAUGAUCCUUUGAUUGACCAGUUGGUGAAGGACAUGCAGCUAGACAACCACACACACACGCAGAUGAUGUCAAUGCUAUCGUGUAUGUCCGGUGGUCUGCAGUAUAUGGGACAUUGUCAGUGUCAAAACCAGCGGAUGAAACAAAAGUUUGCCAUAGAAGAGUCCAAAGAUGACGUCAAGAAACUUCUAGAUUUCUUCGAGAAGAUGCAAAAGAUAAACCCAGAGUUCUUCGAUGAUUAUGACGUUCAUGCAGAUAACCGUGUAAGAAACGUCUUUUGGGCCAACGCAAGUUCCAAACGAUCAUAUGAAGAUUUUGGAGACUACGUUACAUUUGACACGACAUAUAAAACUAACAAAUUCCACAUGACACUGGGAGUCUUCAUGGGAGUGAAGAAUCAUCUACAAAUUACCAUAUUUGUUGUCGCCCUUGUGCGAGAUGAAACAAUACCGUCAUUGGAGUGGGACCAAUGUUCUUCGAUGAAGGCAGCAUUAAAAACUAUCCUCCCAGAUACAUUACAUAAGUUGUGUCGGUGGCAUAUCAUGAAGAAGUACAAAGACCACCUCAUCUUGUUGUAUAAGGCGCACGAGAAACUAAAGGAUGAACUCAAUGAGGUGCUGAACCACCCACUAAUGCCGCCAGAAUUUGAACGGGCAUGGAAGGACCUCAUUCAGAAAUACAACUUGCAAAACAAUGAAGUGAUGAAUUCACUAUGGGUUGACAAGCACGAGUGGAUCUCAACUUACUACAAGGAAAUUUUCUGUGCUCGGAUGACUUCCACGCAGAUAAACAAGGGCAUGAACCGGAUAUUGAAGAAAAACUUCGUCAAAGAGAAGCAUGAUCUCCAUCUGUUUUCUCAACAGGUGGACAAGUGCAUUCAGACCAGGAAGGCCAUCGAGCACGUAGAGACAGUAGAAAAUGAGUCGGAGGUAAAGACAACCCAGUUUGGGUUCGAAGUUUAGCUAUCAAAAGUGUAUACAAGGGCAGUUUUUGCAGAUCUCAAAGAAACACUCUACCGCAGCACUACAUUCAGAGCAAAACGGUGCCCCGAGAACCCGACAAAGUACCUUGUACACCACUACAAUAGAACAGGUGCAUUUGACUGGGCAAGGCAUAAUUUCUAA
rnacentral:rRNA from 1 species